rnacentral:rRNA from 1 species
UACAGAGGUCUCAAGCGUUGUUCGGAUUCAUUGGCGUAAAGGGUGCGUAGGCGGCGCGGUAAGUCGGGUGUGAAUCUCGGAGCUUAACUCCGAACUGCAUUCGAUACUGCCGUGCUUGAGGACUGGAGAGGAGACUGGAAUUACGGUGUAGCGGUGAAAUGCGUAGAGAUCGGAGGAACACCAGUGGCGAAGGCCGGCAUCCUGGACCAGCACUGACACUCGAGCACGAA